AGAAACUAACAAGGAUUCCCCUAGUAACGGCGAGUGAAGAGGGAAAAGCCCAGCACCGAAUCCCACAGCCUUGCGCUGUCGGGAACUGUGGUGUAUAGGAAGCCUACUGUCGACGUGUUCGGGUACCCAAGUCCUCCUGAUCGUGGCCUCUCCCAUAGCGGGUGUCAGGCCCAUAGAGGCACCCGACGGCGUCGGCUUGGAGCUUCCUCGGAGUCGGGUUGUUUGGGAAUG
rnacentral:rRNA from 1 species